rnacentral:rRNA from 1 species
GGGAACCUCACCCGGCCCGGACACCGCGAGGAUUGACAGACUGAGAGCUCUUUCUCGAUUCGGUGGGUGGUGGUGCAUGGCCGUUCUUAGUUGGUGGAGCGAUCUGUCUGGUUAAUUCCGAUAACGAACGAGACCCCAACCUGCUAACUAGCCCUCGGGUCCGGCUUAUGGCGGGCCCGACGGAAUGAUUCGCUUCUUAGAGGGACUCGCGGCGCCUAGCCGCACGAAGGGGGGCGAUAA